rnacentral:rRNA from 1 species
UUCGGCAAUGGACGAAAGUCUGACCGAGCAACGCCGCGUGAGUGAAGAAGGUUUUCGGAUCGUAAAGCUCUGUUGUAAGUCAAGAACGUGUGUGAGAGUGGAAAGUUCACACAGUGACGGUAGCUUACCAGAAAGGGACGGCUAACUACGUGCCAGCAGCCGCGGUAAUACGUAGGGUCCCGAGCGUUGUCCGGAUUUAUUGGGCGUAAAGGGAGCGCAGGCGGUCAGGAAAGUCUGGAGUAAAAGGCUAUGGCUCAACCAUAGUGUGCUCUGGAAACUGUCUGACUUGAGUGCAGAAGGGGAGAGUGGAAUUCCAUGUGUAGCGGUGAAAUGCGUAGAUAUAUGGAGGAACACCAGUGGCGAAAGCGGCCCUCUGGUCUGUCACUGACGCUGAGGCUCGAAAGCGUGGGUAGCGAACAGGAUUAGAUACCCUGGUAGUCCACGCCGUAAACGAUGAGUGCUAGGUGUUAGGCCCUUUCCGGGGCUUAGUGCCGGAGCUAACGCAAUAAGCACUCCGCCUGGGGAGUACGACCGCAAGGUUGAAACUCAAAGGAAUUGACGGGGGCCCGCACAAGCGGUGGAGCAUGUGGUUUAAUUCGAAGC